rnacentral:lncRNA from 1 species
UGUUUGGUGUAUGUAAAAUGUGAAUUACAUUGUCAUUUGUUUUUUGUUAGAAUAAAGUGUUUCUGUUGAUACGUUGAUUUCCUCGUUUUAGUUUGUAACCCAGGUCUGUUUUCUCUCAAUCGAUGUAUGACUCUCGAACAGCGGUAUACUACUGUUGCUUUGUUUGGCCUUUUGUAGAAAUCUUUUAUAAAUCAUAGGGUACUUAUUCUCUAGAAUACAC